UCGACGAGACCUUCGGGUCUAGUGGCGCACGGGUGCGUAACGCGUGGGAAUCUGCCCCUUGGUUCGGAAUAACAGUUAGAAAUGACUGCUAAUACCGGAUAAUGUCUUCGGACCAAAGAUUUAUUGCCAAGGGAUGAGCCCGCGUAGGAUUAGCUAGUUGGUGAGGCAAAAGCUCACCAAGGCGACGAUCCUUAGCUGGUCUGAGAGGAUGAUCAGCCACACUGGGACUGAGACACGGCCCAGACUCCUACGGGA
rnacentral:rRNA from 1 species